GACGAACGCUGGCGGCGUGCCUAAUACAUGCAAGUCGAACGGAAAGGCUCCAGCUUGCUGGCUCAGUCGAGUGCCGCACGGGUGAGAAAAACGCGGGUAAUCCGCACUUCACUUCGGGGUAAGCCUUCGAAACUGCGUCUCAUACCGCAUAGGAUAGCUUUUUGGUGUGUGUGGUGGAAUGGAUUUGCUGGUGUGUGAUGAGCUGGCGGCCUAACAGUUUGUUUGUGGGGUUAUGGCAUACAAAGGCGGCCACGGGCAGCCGGCCUGAGGGGGUGGACGGUCACAUAGAGACUGAGAGACGGCCGAGGCUCCGACUGGAGGCAGCAGUGGGGAAUAUUGACCGAUGAGGGAAGCCCGAAUGCAGCGACGCCGCGUGGGGGAUGAAGGCGUUCGGGUUGUAGACUCCUUUCGCUAGGAACGAAGCUUUUUGUGACGGUACCUAGAGAAGAAGCACCGGCUAACUACGUG
rnacentral:rRNA from 1 species